AUUGAACGCUGGCGGCAGGCCUAACACAUGCAAGUCGAGCGGAGCGCCAGACGGGUGCGUGAUGCCUAUGACUCUGCCUGUUCGUGGGGGAUGACGUCCGGAACCGGGCGCUGAUACCGCAUCCUCUCACAUGCGCCUAGGUCGGAUUAGCUUGUUGGUGGGGUAAAGGCCUACCAAGGCCACGAUCCGUAACUGGUCUGAGAGGAUGAUCAGUCACACUGGAACUGAGACACGGUCCAGAAUCCUACGGGAGGCAGCAGUGGGGAAUAUUGGACAAUGGGCGAAAGCCUGAUCCAGCCAUGCCGCGUGUGUGAAGAAGGUCUUCGGGUUGUAAAGUACUUUAAGUUGGGAGGCGUUACCAGCAGAAUAAGCACCGGCUAACUUCGUGCCAGCAGCCGCGGUAAUUC
rnacentral:rRNA from 1 species